GGGCCCCUUUCCACUAUGAGCAACCAAGUGCUCUGCUGUGUGGUCCUUUGUCUCCUCGGAGCAAAAAUCGUGGUUGGUGGAAUCACUCAAUCCCCAAAGUAUCUGUUCAGAAAGGAAGGACAGGCUGUGACCCUAGGUUGUGAACAGAAUUUGAACCACGAUGCCAUGUACUGGUACCGACAGGACCCGGGGCAAGGGCUGAGAUUGAUCUACUACUCAUGGAUAGUAGAUGACUUUGAGAAAGGAGACAUAACUGAAGGCUACAUCGUCUCUCGGGAGAAAAAGGAGUCUUUCCCUCUCACUGUGACAUCGGCCCAAUGGAACCACACAGCUUUCUAUCUCUGUGCCAGUAGUGGUGAGAGCCACCGGUCAGAGGAGAUGGGCGAUUAUGGCUCUGGAACGAUGACAGGAAGAUUGCACAAAACAAACAGGAUUCUCCAGGAGCUGGGCGCACGGGGAGGGAGUGAGCACAGGCUGAGCUCCGCCUGACAUCCUGUCUGACUCGCGUCCCAC